rnacentral:tRNA from 1 species
GCUAAUCUAGUUUAUAAAAAUGUUUCUUUGUGGAUGAAAAGAUAGCUGAUUCAGUUGGUUAGUU